AUUGAACGCUGGCGGCAGGCCUAACACAUGCAAGUCGAGCGGAUGACGGGAGCUUGCUCCUUGAUUCAGCGGCGGACGGGUGAGUAAUGCCUAGGAAUCUGCCUGGUAGUGGGGGACAACGUUUCGAAAGGAACGCUAAUACCGCAUACGUCCUACGGGAGAAAGCAGGGGACCUUCGGGCCUUGCGCUAUCAGAUGAGCCUAGGUCGGAUUAGCUAGUAGGUGAGGUAAUGGCUCACCUAGGCGACGAUCCGUAACUGGUCUGAGAGGAUGAUCAGUGAAACUGGAACUGGGACACGGUCCAGACUCCUACGGGAGGCAGCAGUGGGGAAUAUUGGACAAUUGGCGAAAGCCUGAUCCAGCCAUGCCGCGUGUGUGAAGAAGGUCUUCGGAUUGUAAAGCACUUUAAGUUGGGAGGAAGGGCAGUAAGCUAAUACCUUGCUGUUUUGACGUUACCGACAGAAUAAGCACCGGCUAACUCUGUGCCAGCAGCCGCAGUAA
rnacentral:rRNA from 1 species